GCUUCAGGGUGCUUGUCGGACUUUUGGCAUGAGCACACUAACCUGUUUGGGGGUUGUUGGGCCCCUACAGAUCACCUUUCACAACACACAUCUCUUUUACCUCCAGGUUUCCAUAAGGUACAGUGCACACAGAAGACUUAUGCAGGACCUUCCAGUUGGAAAUGUACUUCAGUGGGGUAUAAUCCCUAACAAAGUUUCAAUAAUCAAACGAAAGCUGACACACAGUAACUCUUUGGGUUUUCGAGGCCUCAGCUCGGAUGGUUUUAAUGUAAUGUGAGUGUGUCCCUCACCUUUACCAAAAGUUCUCCAAGUGUGCAAGAUGACAUUGUCCAUGUUGUCUAAAAAGCCAAAAAAAACUAUAUAUCUUACAUAAGUGUGUUUGCACCAAGUCAAAACCACAACUAGACAAACAUUUCUGGAGUGGUAUUUUAGACCUUGUUGCCACUUUAAAUCUAUAGUAUUCAAAAAGACCACUAGGGACUACUUUCCCUCUCCUCAUGUGAAGUGAAAAUGAACAAAUCUCGUGCAGGUGAUAAAUAUGUGGUGGUUUAUCAAAAAAGGUCCAAAAAUAAAACUGGCUUUUUCAUAGUAAGUUAAAGAUUUUACACCUUGGAAAGUUUUGUAUUCAAAUUGAGGGUCUAGGAUAGAAGGUUGUAUCAUUACAAAGAGCUGCGACAAAGUUGUAAUAAGAACUGUAUGAAAAUAAGGAUUGUUAAUGUGGGGGUCCCAAAAAGGGGGAGGAUGUUUAUAUAGGUCAUUUAUUUUGCUUUUGACAGCAAAUCUCUUGCCAAAAUUAAAAUUAAAAUAUCAUGCAAGAUUUAUAUUCUUAAACAACAGAUGAUCAAAACUACAAAUGCAUAAUGGUCAAAGCAAAUUCUUGCCAAAGCUACAUGACACUAAUUGUGUGUGUGUGUGUGUGUGUGUGUGUGUGUGUGUGU